GUAAGCCAGGUUGGUUUCUAUCUUUAAUAAUUUUUUUAUAUUUUAGUACGAAAGGAUUUUAUAUGGGGAAUAGUUUCAAAAUUGUGAAUUUUAUUAAAUUUAUAAUUUAUAAGUAAAUUAUAGGUAAUGGGG
rnacentral:rRNA from 1 species